UAUUUGACUGAUAUAUGUUGGUUUUAAUUUGUAGGAAGGACAAAUGAUGGAACAUGGAGCUACUUAUUCUCAUGCUGAUCCACAAAAAACAGAAUGGUGCGAGAGAAAACAAGUUGUAGUACAAAAACCAGAAUUGUGCUUUAGAAUUCGAGGUUAGUAUGUUAACUAUGAAUCUCGCUAAUUUAGAGGCUCAUAAUUACGAUGUCUGCUUCAAUGAGUAUUGAAAGAAGAAUUAUUCUGUUAGCUUUUAGAGCUGAAUUGGUUUUGAUAGACCCUGCAAAGGGAAUGAAAUGAGUUGUUCUGGAAGCAGAAAAGAUAUUAGCUAAGACACCUAAUGCCUACUUACUUCUGCAAUUUGAAUACUCUGCUAAUCCCAAGAUACAUUAUGAAACUACAUGUCCAAAGAUAUGGAAAGGCAUAGAUGGGAACGUUGACACAUUUAUUUAUGGGUUGAUUGGCGUGGAACCAGUGGAGACUCCGGUGCUCUCAGGAUGACUAAAAUUUAGGCUAAUGGAUAUUUAUGUUAGCUCCGUUGUAUUAGCAGUCCAUUGACGAAAGUGUGCACGUCACCAGCAGAAUAUGAAGACACUUGUGUAGUUAACAUUUCUUAUCGCCAAGCCUGCUACACUACUUUUAACUAUCACUCUCAUGUUUUCUUCUUUCAGCCAGCUGACAAAUGGUUCCUUUUGUGAUCUAAUAUAUAUCUUAACUUCGCAAGGGUUAAAUGUAGUUUCCUGCAGCUUCUCUUAACAAGCGCCUUACUAUCAAUUGUUUUGUUAGCCAUGUUGACCGUCAAUUCG